rnacentral:rRNA from 1 species
GACGUAGGGCGCGAGCGUUUGUCCGGAUUUAUUGGGUGUAAAGAGCUCGUAGGCGGCUUGUCGCGUCGAAUGUGAAAACUCGGGGCUCAACUCCGAGCUUGCAUUCGAUACGGGCAGGCUAGAGUUCGGUAGGGGAGACUGGAAUUCCUGGUGUAGCGGUGAAAUGCGCAGAUAUCAGGAAGAACACCUAUGGCGAAGGCAGCUCUCUGGGACGGUACUGACGCUGAGACGCGAAAGCGUGGGGAGCGAACAGG